rnacentral:rRNA from 1 species
GACGAACGCUGGCGGCGUGCCUAAUACAUGCAAGUAGAACGCUGAWSGAGGAGCUUGCUUCUCCGGAUGAGUUGCGAACGGGUGAGUAACACGUAGGUAACCUGCCUGGUAGCGGGGGAUAACUAUUGGAAACGAUAGCUAAUACCGCAUAAGAGUAGAUGUUGCAUGACAUUUGCUUAAAAGGUGCAAUUGCAUCACUACCAGAUGGACCUGCGUUGUAUUAGCUAGUUGGUGGGGUAACGGCUCACCAAGGCGACGAUACAUAGCCGACCUGAGAGGGUGAUCGGCCACACUGGGACUGAGACACGGCCCAGACUCCUACGGGAGGCAGCAGUAGGGAAUCUUCGGCAAUGGACGGAAGUCUGACCGAGCAACGCCGUGUGAGUGAAGAAGGUUUUCGGAUCGUAAAGCUCUGUUGUAAGAGAAGAACGAGUGUGAGAGUGGAAAGUUCACACUGUGACGGUAUCUUACCAGAAAGGGACGGCUAACUACGUGC